AUUACCCAAUACGGACACGGUGAGGUAGUGACAAGAAAUAACAAUACGGGGCUUAAUGUCCUGUAAUUGGAAUGAUGGGAAUUUAAACCUCUUCCAGAGUAUCAAUUGGAGGGCAAGUCUGGUGCCAGCAGCCGCGGUAAUUCCAGCUCCAAUAGCGUAUAUUAAAAUUGUUGCAGUUAAAAAGCUCGUAGUUGAAUUUCUGCUGCAUCGUCGCAUCUCUUGCUGAGUGCUUCGUUUCGGCUUAUUUCGGAUUGAUUUUUUCUUUCCGGAUGAUUACUUUGAGAAAAUUAGAGUGCUCAAAGCAGGCUUUUGCCUUGAAUAGUUUAGCAUGGAAUAAUAAAGUAGGACUUUGGUUCUAUUUUGUUGGUUUUAGGUACCAAAGUAAUGGUUAAUAGGAACAGUUGGGGGCAUUCGUAUUUAA
rnacentral:rRNA from 1 species